AAUAAAAGUAACUUGUUCUGUUCCAUACACCUCGUGAUGCCAGCUUACGAGUCAUCAAGUAUGUCACUUUGUUGGUGAUAAUUAUUAUUUUUUGGAGGAUAUUUAUGUAUAUACGGCAGAUGAUAAAAUUAUCGGGUGGAUGUGAAACCGUUCGCUUCGAUGACAACGAGUCCUCAAAUUUUGUUGGAAAAGAGCGGCGCUUAUAUUGUUCGGUCACAUGGAUACAUAGUUCGGCCGAAUACAGAAUGAUUCAACUGUAAGAGAAAUGGAAUAACACGAGCGAACGUGGUGAACAGAUUGGGAGUACGAAAAGAGAUGACUUCAUCACCGCACGUCACUUUUUAUUUCGCUAAACCUGACGUAAGCUAUCCAGUGAUCGAUAUUAUGUAAGAAUUUCAAUCUUAUAUAAAUGUGGGGUAAAAUGGGAUGCGGUAACCACCUAAAUCCCAUGUAUCGUAGUCCUGUUUUGAACUAUUCGCAAACCUCUUUUAGAGUCAUGGGGUCUACGGUAAUAUAUUUUAGUAAAUACUCUUUGUGUACUAUACCAAAUGGGACAAGAAAUCUACUGGAAGAUGAUUGUAAACUGCGAAGUCAAAGCGUUCGGACAAAUAUAACAUUUCUUGCAAUUUA